UACGUAGGGGGCGAGCGUUGUCCGGAUUUAUUGGGCGUAAAGAGCGUGUAGGCGGUUCGGUAAGUCUGUCGUGAAAUCCUGAGGCUCAACCUCGGGCGUGCGAUGGAUACUGCCGGGCUAGAGGGUGGUAGAGGCGAGUGGAAUUCCCGGUGUAGCGGUGAAAUGUGCAGAUAUCGGGAGGAACACCAGUAGCGAAGGCGGCUCGCUGGGCCACACCUGACGCUGAGACGCGAAAGCUAGGGGAGCGAACAGG
rnacentral:rRNA from 1 species